rnacentral:sRNA from 1 species
GAGGGUGGUGGUGCACUCCUGUAAUCCCAGCUACUUGGGAGGCUGAGGCAGGGGGAUCACAAGUUUGAGGCCAGCCUGGGCAACUUAGUGACACCCUGUCUCAA